AUAAAAGCGAUGAUUAGAAAGAGUAAAUCUAAUUCGAUUACCAGAGAGAAAAGCUCAUGGGCUGUAAGGCUUUUCAAAUUAGAGGGAUUGAAAACUAUCUAGGAGCUGUGAUCUGAAGUAAUCUCAUUGAUUUUAGUAAGAUUAACCGUAAGCUGCGUUAAAGCAUUAAGUGGAUUUUUAAUCAAUUUAGGUGGAACCGCGGGAAGAUAUCUCGUCCUUAUU
rfam:Terrisporobacter sp. 08-306576 Contig007, whole genome shotgun sequence.